GGUUCAAUCCCUGGCCUCGCUCAGUGGCUUAAGGAUCCAGCAUGGCCAUGAGCUGUGGUAUAGGUCACAGACUCGGCUUGGAUCUGGUGUUGCUGUAGCUGUGGUGUAGGCCGGUAACUCCAUCUCUGAUUUGACCCCUAGCCUGGGAUCUUCAAUAUGCCACAGGUGCAACCUAAAAAGCAAAAAUAAAAUAAAAUAAAAUAAAAUAAAAUAAAAUAAAAUAAAAUAAAUAAAAAGGUUUUCCCCUGCUAUUCUUGCUUUUUUUUCUUUUCUUUCAAAGGACUCUUAAGAUCAUCUCCAAGCCCUCUUUCUUAAUAGAUAUGGUUUUUGCUAAAACAGAAGUAUCUUGGUAGUUAGGUUAUAUUUAUUAUCUUACUCACCUACAUGUACAUCGGUAUUUCUCAUCACACCACGGUGAUAUUUCUAGAAAUCGUGCAUUAUAUAAUAUUGCAUGCUUUAUUUUGAAUUUCUAGUUUGUCUUUGUACUAGGCUAGAAAAAAUAUUAACUGAAGCCCAAGGUAGCUCCCUUAUGGCUUCUCUGCAAAAUGUCAAUUUGUCCUGGGAAUAAGUAACUCUCACUUCACUAACGUUUAAAUAAAUUCCCUCCUUGUUGCAGAUCAUGUCCUUCCAGAGGGAUAGCACAGUGCUGCUUACCUCUUGGAUGCUCAGUAAGAAUUAACUGGCUUUUGCAUGGCAAAUACACAUUUUUAUUAUAUUGUUUAUAUUUAUAAAGAAGGUGCCGAAAGCAAAGUACCAUGCUGCACUCUGUGCAAGGUGAAAAGAUGAGUCACCCAAAGACUAAAGGGUUGCCUUAGGACAGAAAAGCUGUGUACUUCAGGAAUUCUCCUGCAAGGUCCAUAACCCAGAAGACAUGUGUAGAUGGAUGCUACAGAAAAAGAAGAGAAAUUAGUUCUACGUGGAGGACUGAGCAGCAAGUUCGUAUGCCAGAAUCUUGUUUGUAUGAGAAUUAAUCAACUAAGAACACUUACCUAUUGAGGAAUCAGGGCAGAACGAUCAGUUUGUCUACCUGUUUUCCAUAAAGAGAGAUCAAAGCACGUUCCCUUGUAAAGCAGUCAAUGCUUUCCUUCCUUGUUUACUUACUGUCAUGUAGAUGCGCCUUGGAGAAAUGCAUAUUUUUGACUGGUGAGAAAGCAAUGAGUUACAUGUAAGUCAUUAUUAUAAAGAAGCUGUUACUCCAGAGUGAUAUUCAUGAAGGACUCCUCAUCUGGAUGCAAGGCACACCACUGCCCAAUUAAGCCUGGGGAAGAGUUGGUGCACCCUAAUAUAGGAGGAAGAGUGCAGCUUGAAUAUGGUUUUAAACUGAAAUGUAUUUCUUAUUGCAAAAGGAAAUGAACUGUGAAAGACAAAGCCAAGCAGAGAAACCAGCUCUCCAGGGCUCACCCGUGAGCCCAGCCAACAACCGGCCCUGAGCUCCCUUUGUUUUCUCUUUGAACAACCUCAUUGUCCCCUUAGCUGUGUGUCCAACAAAGGUUGUCCAGCUCUUGAACCUCUGGUGCAGGGGCGUGAGGCCUGGGGAGUUCUGUGCAGGAUGAAGUGAUUUUUGUGGACGUGUCCAGGGAGGCAUCCAGGCAGAUGCAUCUUCAGGCAUCCCACGGAGCCCCUGGCAGCUCUUACCAAGUCUCCUGCCCAACCUGCUCUUAGCCUGCUGUUGAUUCUGCCAUCAUUCAUCUCCACUCACAGGAAGGCUGGCCCUUCAGGAGAGACGUCAAAAGUAGAAAAGCAUCUGUGAGGGGAAUUCCUCAAUGUCCAGCAUGCCCUUGCCCCUAAGGAUGAAUUCCUGACUUGUUCCCAGGCGCAUCUCAUACUAGAGUAGAAUAGAAUGAAAAUCUAUUUAUAAACCCAGCUGUGAUGGUUCAUUCCAUAGGUCACCUUGACUGGGCUAUGGAGUGCCCAGAACCCUGACUAAUAUACCAGUCUUGUGAUAAUAUUGCUCGUUUUGUUGAAAUGUUCCAUCUGACACAAAUGAUACAGACACGAAUGUUAAUCUGAUUUAUUCUCUUACUGUAUCCUUGGGAAAGUUAUAAAGAGUUAGAGGUGAUGACUUCGCCAAAGCAAAUUAAAAAAAAAAAUCUGUGGUUGUAACUGGAAAUAGACAAUAAGACAUAUGACUCAUAUAUUAAUUUCUACUAGACCAUAUUGCAUCCUAAGAAACACUCAUUUCCAUGUAAAACAGAAUCGUUUGCUUUCCAUAUCUUUGUGGGGAUCUGAAAGUUUCCAGUUGUCAUUUCAAGAAUUUCUGAGGCGCAUGGGGGGGGGGUGUCUCAUUACUAAACUCUCACUAGAUUUCUCAUUUGAGUAUUGUCGGUGAUAUGUUAUCAUUUAGGCAAUAUACAUGCCUUCAAAAUAUACUGCGGCCAGAAUGACUGAAUAAAAACCACAGCAUCCUGUGGCCCGAUGGAUGUUAUUUCGUGUAUCUUCCAAAAGCCCCACAGUCUAGCAUCCGACGGUCAUUAAAGCGCCAUUCACAUCUUUGGUGGUUUUGAAAGUGUUUUAUCUUCUGGUUAUUGAAUGGUUUUUUUUAUGAUCCAGUUCACAACCUUUAGAAACCUUUCUGGGGGGGUCUCUCUUCCUCUCCAGUUUUCUCAAACACCAAGAGAGGAGGAGUUUCUCAUGCCUUUAAUCCUCACUCCUCACCUUCUCAGCAACACUCUCCAAGUCUCAGCCCCCUUGACCUUGAUCUCCUCUCCACUUCCUCUUACAUUUCUGGUCCUGUUUAUCUCCUAUUCAUUUACCUGACUCUGCCUCACAGAACCUGGAACCUGGACUGGCAAAGAAUUUGUAACGCAGGGGAGAGGAAAGGGUCGAGAGGACAAAAAUGUAAGUCUUUUUCAAGAUGAAAUCUGAAAACACUGAUCUCUCUUUUCUCUCACUGUCAAACUUAGUGGAAGCACUGCACAUUAGCCAGGGGUAGGAGCUGAUGUUAGCUGUUGCUUCCAUACCCUGGGGCAUAUUUCUUUUUUUCUUUUUUAAAUUGAAGUAUAGUUGAUUUACAAUAUUAUAUUAGUUUCAGGUAUACAACAUAGUAAUUCAAUGUUUUUUAUAGGUUAUACUCCAUUUAAAGUUAUUACAAAUUAAUGGCUAUAUUUCCCUGUGCUAUGCAAUAUAUUGUUGUUGCUUAUCUACUUUAUACGUAAUAGUUUGUAUCUGCUAAUUCCUAAUCCUAUCCUGCCCUUCCUCCCUUUCCCUCUCCCCAGUGGUAACCAGUAGUUUGUUUCCUAUAUGACUUUCUGUUUUCUUAUGCUCAUGCAUUUGUUUUAUUUUUUAGAUUUCCUAUAUAAGUGAUAACAUAGAGUAUUUGUCUUUCUCUGUCUGACUUAUUUCACUAAGGACUGUACCUUUCAAGUCCAUCCAUGUUGUUGCAAAUGGAAGAAUUUCAUUUUUUUCUUAUGGCUGAGUAAUAGCUCAUUGUGUGUGUGUGUGUGUGUGUGUGUGUGUGUGUGUGUGUGUCUCACAUCCUCUUUAUUCAUUCAUCUGUUGGAGGACACUUAGGUUGUUUCCAUAGCUUGGCUCUCGUAAAUAAUGCUGCUCUGAAAAUUGGGGUGUGAGGUAUAUUUCUUUCAUCGCAGUUGCCUGCACAGUGGCCCUGGAUUGCCCACUGGAAGAAAGCUGUCACAUCUCUGAGACUUGCCAAGCUCCAUCCAAGCUCUCUUGUGUGUAUGUUCCUGCUUUUCAGUGACCUAAGACUCUUGGACCCCUCACCCUACAUGCAGAUGGUGUCAGGCACUGACAACCAGAGGCUGUGAUAGAAUGGAAAAAAGUCCUUAUGUUUGUUCAGGGUUGGAUCCCUGCUGUACAUACUGCUGGCUCAUUUCAUCUCCCAAGACAACCCUGUGGGAUGGGCAGGGGCAAGUACAAAUAUUACUAUUCUCAUUUGAUAGCCCACCAGGCUUGGCACUUCUGUUAAAUGUUGAUGAGUGCUUCAAAGUAGUAGGAAGAGUUGUUCAGGCUAACUGUAAUUUUAUUAACUCACAUUAAGCAGCCUGGAUAUUUUUUCCUUUUUAAUACUAAAAAAGUCCAUUUUCAGAUAAGAAAUAAACAUAUUUUUUUCCACGAGAAAUCAUGCACUGCAUCUUUUACAAAGAAAAAUAUUGAAUUUAUAAGCAUACUUAUUCCGUAAUCAUUUUCUAUGAUUACUUUUCAUUUUUAUGCUAAUGUAACUAGAAUUUAUGUGGUGCGUUAUUUUUCCAUGGUGCACCUAUUCUGAUAAAUACAGAAAAAGAAAAAGCACCCAAAAAACAUUUUCUGAGAAGUGCCAUAAAUACACCUUUUUGUCAUCCUUAUUAGCAAAACAUUCUUUAUUCUCUCUUCUCUCUCUGUUUCUCUCUCUCUCGCCUCAUUAGAAACAAUCUGUAAUAGUUAGAGCUUAUUGUGUAGACUUAUAAAUAGACUUCUUUAUAGAAAUAAAGUAGAUUUGGACCUUAGUUCCCUAAAACCCCAGUCAUUCAUCUGUUUCUGUGAAUAUCCAAAGUUUGCAGCCUGUUCAAAUACAUGACCUGAUCUUUACUUAGUCUGUGAGAUUUCGAAGAACCAUUAUGCAGAUUACAAACUCACCUCUCAGUGAACUGACUGCUCUGAUUGACACAAAGGACCUUUGGGUGCCCAUGAGUGUAUGAGGGAGGCACUUAAAUGCAAGACCCUUGGCAGCCCGAGGAAUACAUCUGAGAAGAAAACAAGAGGAGACCACGACAGCUCAGAUAUCCAUACUAUAAACAUUGGCUAAACAAGGUUUCCAUAGACACCCCGUGUCUUAUGAGAUGGUGGCAAGGGGCCAAAUUAAUGGCGGGUCUGUGUCCCAGUGAGGAGGUGGGAUUUAACCCACAGUUUCUCGGUAUGAUUUUUUCCCACUGAACAUUUUUCUUUAAUAAUCAGGUUUGAGUUUGGGUUUUUUUGUCUUGUUUUGUUUUGUUUUUUUGUUUUCUGACCAGGAAAAACUAAUCAAGUGAAAUCUGUGGAAGUGUUUGCUUUCCUUCCUGUUCUCGGUACAUCUGUGAAAAGCAGUCACCUUAGGGAGCUGAGUUUGUCUGCAAUUUUUUUUUUUCUUUAAGAGAUUGAAUUAAGGUAGAUAAGAUAGAGAAAAGCCCAACAUUGAUAAAGAUUUCUGGGGAGUUUCCCUUGUGACUCAGCGGUAACAAACCAGACUAGUAUCCAUGUGGAUGCAGGUUUGAUCCCUGGCCUCGCUCAGUGGGUUAAGGAUCUGGCGUUGCUGCUGUGGCUGUGGCCAGUAGCUGCAGCUCCAGUGUGACCCCUAGGCAGGGAACUUCCAUAUGCCGUGGGUGCAGGCCU
rnacentral:lncRNA from 1 species